rnacentral:tRNA from 1 species
GGGCUCGUGGUACAGUGGUAGCACGUUCGCUUAGCAUGCGAAAGGUCCUGGGUUCAAUUCCCAGCGAGUCCA